UGGGGAAUAUUGGACAACGGGCGAAAGCCUGAUCCAGCCAUGCCGCGUGUGUGAAGAAGGUCUUCGGAUUGUAAAGCACUUUAAGUUGGGAGGAAGGGCAGUAAGCGAAUACCUUGCUGUUUUGACGUUACCGACAGAAUAAGCACCGGCUAACUCUGUGCCAGCAGCCGCGGUAAUACAGAGGGUGCAAGCGUUAAUCGGAAUUACUGGACGUAAAGCGCGCGUAGGUGGUUCGUUAAGUUGAAUGUGAAAGCCCCGGGCUCAACCUGGGAACUGCAUCCAAAACUGGCGAGCUGGAGUAGGGCAGAGGGUGGUGGAAUUUCCUGUGUAGCGGUGAAAUGCGUAGAUAUAGGAAGGAACACCAGUGGUGAAGGCGACCACCUGGGCUCAUACUGACACUGUGGUGCGAAAGCGUGGGGAGCAAACAGG
rnacentral:rRNA from 1 species